rnacentral:lncRNA from 1 species
GUUGUUCUUAUUUUUAUGUACUUGACCAAGUAUUGACCGAGUUAUAUAUCAUUGUUGAUUUAAUAGUAUUUUAAGAUUGAAGAUCUAUUUUUAAGAUCUGCAUGUAUGUGGCUUAUCUAUCUUUAGCGUACUUAUUGGAAUGUUAACUAGUGAACAAGUACGUACUCUACUAAUGUAUCAGAAUACAUAAUCCGCUUACCGUAUCUUUUUAUCAUAUGACUAUACUUUUUUUAUUUUUUCAUUGGCUAGUGAAAACAUGGGUUAAACCUAAGAAUAAUAAUUGGACAUUGUUGUGCCGUAAAAUGAUGUUUUUAAAAAAAAAUGAUUCAGGAACAAAAAAUAAAACGCACACAACUGAAUAUACAAAAAUCUUUUUAAUAUAACAUCAAUAAAAAAAACUCUAAAAAAUUAAA